GUUUCCAUGUUUCCGAGUUGCUUCCCAGUAGUUCCUCUCAGUUCCAUUUCCAGUUGUUUCCAAGCCAUUAAAUUCUUUCCAGGCGAGAUAAGGGUCCCGCCCGUCCCACCCAGGGUGUGUCACGUGUAGGGGGGAGGUUCAGACGAACAGAAGCAGGAGAGCCUGGAAGGGGGAUGGAGCGAAGACGGAGCCCCUGUGCCCCUGGGGCCAUCUCUCAGUCAUCACAGCCCCGCUGAACCGGGACACGGGUUCGAGCCCUGGUCCAGGAAGAUCCCACAUGCCGUGGAGCGACUAAGCCCGUGCGCCACAACUACUGAAGCCCGCGUGCCUAGAGCCCGUGCUCCGCCACAAGAGAAGCCACCGCAGUGAGAAGCUCACCCACCGCAACGAAGAGUAGCCCCCGCUCUCCACAACUAGAGAAAGCCCGCGCGCAGCAACGAAGACCCAACGCAGCCAAAAAUUUUAUAACUAAAAUAAAUAAACAAAUGCCUGUCAA